UAAGGAAUAUUGGUCAAUGGACGCAAGUCUGAACCAGCCAUGCCGCGUGGAGGAUGAAGGUCCUCUGGAUUGUAAACUUCUUUUAUCUGGGACGAAACACUUCUUUUCUAAGAGGCCUGACGGUACCAGAUGAAUAAGCACCGGCUAACUCCGUGCCAGCAGCCGCGGUAAUACGGAGGGUGCAAGCGUUAUCCGGAUUCACUGGGUUUAAAGGGUGCGUAGGUGGGUAUGUAAGUCAGUGGUGAAAUCCCCGAGCUUAACUUGGGAACUGCCAUUGAUACUAUAUAUCUUGAAUACCGUAAAGGUAAGCGGAAUAUGUCAUGUAGCGGUGAAAUGCUUAGAUAUGACAUGGAACACCAAUUGCGAAGGCAGCUUACUAUGCGGUGAUUGACACUGAGGCACGAAAGCGUGGGCAGCAAACA
rnacentral:rRNA from 1 species